rnacentral:rRNA from 1 species
UAACCUGCUAAAUAGCCCGUACUGCUUUGGCAGUUCGCCGGCUUCUUAGAGGGACUAUCGGCUCAAGCCGAUGGAAGUUUGAGGCAAUAACAGGUCUGUGAUGCCCUUAGAUGUCCUGGGCCGCACGCGCGUUACACUGACAGGGCCAGCGAGUACCUCCUUGGCCGAAAGGCCCGGGUAAUCUUGUUAAACCCUGUCGUGCUGGGGAUAGAGCAUUGCAAUUAUUGCUCUUCAACGAGGAAUCCCUAGUAAGCGCAAGUCAUCAGCUUGCGUUGAUUACGUCCCUGCCCUUUGUACACACCGCCCGUCGCU